AACGAACGCUGGCGGCAGGCCUAACACAUGCAAGUCGAGCGAAGCCUUCGGGCUUAGCGGCGGACGGGUGAGUAACGCGUGGGAACGUGCCCUUUGGUACGGAAUAGCCCCGGGAAACUGGGAGUAAUACCGUAUGUGGUCGAGAGACGAAAGAUUUAUCGCCAAAGGAUCGGGCCGCGGUGGAUUAGGUCGUUGGGUGGGUAAUGGCCUAACCAAGCCGACGAUCAAUCGCUGGUUGGAGAGGAUGAUAGGCCACACUGGGACGGGGCCAGGGCCAAAAUUCUUACGGGGGGAAGAAGGGGGAAUUUUUGGCAAAUGGGGGAACCCUUGUUUUAGCAAUGCGGGUUGAUGAAUGAAGGCUUUGGGUUGGUAAGGAUCUUUCAGUGGGAAGAUAAUGACUGUACCCACAGAAGAAGCCCCGGCUAACUCCGUGCCAGCCGCCGCAGUAAUAC
rnacentral:rRNA from 1 species